UAGGUAUCUUGGGCACUUUAAAGCUACAUUGUGUAAGAAUUCCUCCCAUUUAGCAGUGAAAUUGUAUAUGACAACCAACUGAAUAUUACUUUCUAGCCCUUCCCAUUCUGGUGGCUGAACUCAAA